rnacentral:rRNA from 1 species
UGGGGAAUAUUGCACAAUGGGCGAAAGCCUGAUGCAGCGACGCCGCGUGAGGGAUGAAGGCCUUCGGGUUGUAAACCUCUUUCAGCAGGGAAGAAGCGCAAGUGACGGUACCUGCAGAAGAAGCGCCGGCUAACUACGUGCCAGCAGCCGCGGUAAUACGUAGGGCGCAAGCGUUGUCCGGAAUUAUUGGGCGUAAAGAGCUCGUAGGCGGUUUGUCGCGUCUGCUGUGAAAACCCGAGGCUCAACCUCGGGCCUGCAGUGGGUACGGGCAGACUAGAGUGCGGUAGGGGAGAUUGGAAUUCCUGGUGUAGCGGUGGAAUGCGCAGAUAUCAGGAGGAACACCGAUGGCGAAGGCAGAUCUCUGGGCCGUAACUGACGCUGAGGAGCGAAAGCAUGGGGAGCGAACA